rnacentral:misc_RNA from 1 species
GAUGAAGAACGCAGCGAAAUGCGAUAAGUAAUGUGAAUUGCAGAAUUCAGUGAAUCAUCGAAUCUUUGAACGCACAUUGCGCCCCUUGGUAUUCCGAGGGGCAUGCCUGUUCGAGCGUCAUUACACCACUCAAGCACUGCUUGGUAUUGGGCACUCGUCCGUCGAAAGACGGGCGUGCCUCGAAGACCUCGGCGGGGUUUCUCCAACUUCGGGCGUAGUAGAGUUAAAUCAAAACGUCUUAUAAGCUUGGUGAAAUCUCAUUGCCGUUAAACCUUUUUUUUUUUCAGGUUGACCUCGGAUCAGGUAGGGAUACCCGCUGAACUUAAGCAUAUCAAUAAGCGGAGGA